CUGAAGUGGAAAGAGCUUACAAGGAUUUGAAGAUGAGACCAACCUGGGUAGGAAUCCAAGUUCUUCCAGUCUCACAGGCAAGAACCCAAAAGACAAGAAACAACAGAGAAGAGACCGUCAACCCAAGAGAUUCAGGAUUCACUGAUGGGUCGUAAGUUGUCUCUAAGUAGGUUGAAGAUCUUUCAUCAAUGUUGGUAUCUGCUGACCCAUCAAGGUGAGCGUUGCAGAAGGCUGGGGGUGGCUACGCCAAUUUCUUAAAGUAAAACAACAAUGAAGUUUGUUGCACUUACUGACUCUUCCCUUCACAAACGAUUUCUCUGUAGCAUCAGAGCAGAUACCGUUUUGACAGCAUUUUACACAUAGCAGAACUUCUUUCAAAAUUGGUGUCAGUUCUCUCAAAUCUUGCCACUGCUUUAUCAAUUAAGUUGAUGUAACAUUCUAAAUGCUUUGUUGUCAUUUCAACAAUUUCCACAAGCAUCUUCGCCAGGGGUAGAUUCCAACUCAAGAAACUACUUUCUUUGCUCAUCUCUGAGAAGCAACUCCUCAUCCGUUCCAGUUUCAUCAUGAGAUGGCAGCAAUUGAGUCACAUCUUCAGGCUCCACUUCUUAAUCGGAGAAUUCUUCAGCUUCAUCAACUAGAAACUCAUUUGUCACAAAUUAUCCAGCUGGGUUAGUCCUGAGAAAAUAUUCUUCCUCCUGACAGAGGAAUAUAUAUCUCCUGACAGAAAUCUCUAAAUAGCAUUGUUAAAGACAAGAGGAAUCUGAUUUUACAAUCAAAUUGGUGAAAUUGAGCUAUCAACCAGUCAAGAGUGAAGUUCCAAAGACAUCUUGAUUAUUGAUUUUCCCAUCCAUUCAACUUUGCAUGUGAAUUCAGAAUUGACAACCUUUAAUGAGCAUAUUUAUGGUGUAGGCACUUUGUCAGUGUUGGAUAUACAAAGGAGAAUACAACUUGUUCUCUGCUUUCAAGGUAGGUGUUGCAAGGAAAUGGGAAGAGCUCAGGGUAAUUUCUGCAUGAUUGCUGUGCAAAUUAAGUGAUUUGCUGGGCAAAUGCCUCCAGCACUAGGUCUAGUGCUUUGCCAGAACUUGACACUUGCCAGUCCUCCCCCUCAUUUACUGCCGAGUGGAUAACAUUAUUUCUAUGGCUCCUUGUUCCUUCUUCAGGAUUCUGACCACACUCUAUGCUUAACUCUUAAAAAGUGGGAACUGAAACCUCUUUUCAUCCCCCAUCUCCCCCACAGCCUGCAUGGUCACCCUCUCAUCAAAGUCUUUGUGACACCUAAUUUUUUUUAAGUUUAUUUAUUUAUUUUGACAGAGAGCGAGAGAGAGGGAGAGAGAGAAUCCCAAGCAGGCUCCACACUGGCAGCAAGAGCUCCAGGGGGGACUCAAACCCACAAACCAUGAGAUCAUGACCUGACCCAAAACCAAGAGUUGGACACUUAGCCAACUGAACCACCCAAGCACCCCACACCAAAUGUUUUAUUGUUCAUUCCAAGUGGUAAAUUUAGCAAAAUAUAACUGUUAACACAGUUCUUUCCAUUAGCAUUUUCAAAGCCCACCACCUUGGUGGAAUCUUUGCAGACACUGCCAGUCAAUUUAUCUCUUUGGCAUUUCUCUAUUUUCUAAGACACGCAUGUGAACACUGCCUAUAUCCAGUCCAUCUUCUUACCUCUAAUGGCUGACACAGAGCACAAUCAUGCUACCUCUGUUCCUCACUCUUACCCACUCUCCCUUGGUAGCCAAAUGCUACUUUCUCUAAAAAAUAUGAUCAACAAAGAAGCUGGUUCAUAAGCACCUAAACAGGGGCACCUGGGUGGCUCAGUCGGUUGAGCAUCCGACUUCGGCUCAAGUCAUGAUCUCGCGGUGAGCUCGAGCCCUGCAUUGGGCUCUGUGCUGACAGCUCAGAGCCUGGAGCCUGCUUCUGAUUCUGUGUCUCCCUCUCUCUCUACCCCUCCCCCGCUCAUGCGCGCGCGCUCUCUCUCUCUCUCUCUCUCUCUCUCUCUCUCAAAAAUAAACAUAAGCACCUAAACAAUGUGACUGUCAGAAUAUACCAGAUAAUGAAAACAAGACAUAAUAGAUAAGAAAAAUGUGGGAGUGAGAAGUAUCCCCACGUAGUGAUUAAGAGCUGUGACUCAGAACUUGGAUCUGAGUUCAAAUCUCAUCUUCAUAGCUUACUUUCUUUGUGAUUUUAGGCAAGUUGUAUCAGCCUCAGUUUCCUCAUUUGAAAAUAAAAAUUAUAACAGUUUCUAACUCAUGAAAUUGUUGUACAGAUUAACUAUAACAAUGCAUGGAAACCAUUGAUGAUUUAACUCAAUAUCUGACCACUAACCCCUAAUAAAUGAAUAAAACCAUUGUUGCUACCAUCAUAAUUAUGAUAGGGUAACCACACAUUUAUGUAAUAAGAAGUCAGAGAAAAUGUAACAUUUCAGAAUUAAGAGCUUCUUCCCAAUAAUGCAAAGAAACCCUUUAUAUUGUUAUAAUGUAAUUUUUCAGGGUAAGAUAGAUAUCUUUUUUUUCCCUUUUCUUUCAGGAAACCAUCUAUUGCUUUUAAUACAAAAAUAAACUUUAAAAGAAGAAACUUUUAUUUUGCAAUCCAUCCUCACCUUAAGAGCAGAGCACCACAACUGUUUACUGACAUGAAAGUUCAUUAUUAGUAAACAUCAGAUAACAACUUUAUUUAUCCUCAAGCCUGAUUACUCCUUGGAGGGAGAAAGGGCACAAAAAGCCUUCCUGUCACCAGAGAACCAGACCCAAUUCACACAGUUUAGGAGAAAUUUAUGAAACAGAAAUCUGCCAUGCUCAAACAAGUAUUCAGCAUUCAUAAUUUGUUUCCAUUCUAAUUAAGCACUAUAGCCCAGCUAUUUUGAUAGUUUAUCCUUACUCCUUAAAGAAAGCAGCUUUAGGAUCAGCAGCUGAUGUUAGAAGAUAAUUCAGAAAAAAUUAUUUUUAGCUAGGACUAAGUCCCUUUGUAUACAUGCUCCCCUAAACUCUCAGAUGUCUACUGGAUAGGAGAUUUAACUGCUUAUCACAGAACCGAAGGAGUAAUAAGGAAAACAUCACAAUAUUUAUUCCCCUCCAAUAAAAAUCAGUAACGAUUUCAUUCA